rnacentral:rRNA from 1 species
AGAACGAACGCUGGCGGCAUGCCUAACACAUGCAAGUCGAACGCGUGUAGCGAUACACGAGUGGCGGACGGGUGAGUAACGCGUGGGAACCUGCCCUGGAGUGUGGGAUAACCGAGGGAAACUUCGGCUAAUACCGCAUACGACCUGAGGGUGAAAGAUUUAUCGCUCUAGGAGGGGCCCGCGUCGGAUUAGCUAGUUGGUGGGGUAAAGGCCUACCAAGGCAGUGAUCCGUAGCUGGUCUGAGAGGAUGAUCAGCCACACUGGGACUGAGACACGGCCCAGACUCCUACGGGAGGCAGCAGUGGGGAAUAUUGGACAAUGGGGGCAACCCUGAUCCAGCAAUGCCGCGUGAGUGAUGAAGGCCUUAGGGUUGUAAAGCUCUUUCGCGCGCGACGAUGAUGACGGUAGCGCGAGAAGAGCCCCGGCUAACUUCGUGCCAGCAGCCGC